rnacentral:rRNA from 1 species
UACGGAGAGUGCAAACGUUGUUCGGAUUCAUUGGGCGUAAAGGGUGCGUAGGCGGCGCGGUAAGUCGGGUGUGAAAUCUUGGAGCUUAACUCCGAAACUGCAUUCGAUACUGCCGUGCUUGAGGACUGGAGAGGAGACUGGAAUUUACGGUGUAGCGGUGAAAUGCGUAGAUAUCGUAAGGAAGACCAGUGGCGAAGGCGGGUCUCUGGACAGUUCCUGACGCUGAGGCACGAAGGUCAGGGGAGCAAACGGG